GAACGCACAUUGCGCCCCUUGGUAUCCCGAGGGGCAUGCCUGUUCGAGCGUCAUUUCACCACUCAAGCCUGGCUUGGUGUUGGGCGACGUCCCCUUUGGGGACGCGCCUCGAAACGCUCGGCGGCGUGGCACCGGCUUUAAGCGUAGCAGAAUCUUUCGCUUUGGAAGUCGGGGCCCCGUCUGCCGGAAGACCUACUCGCAAGGUUGACCUCAAAUCGAGUAGGACCACCCGCUGAACUUAAG
rnacentral:misc_RNA from 1 species